AAAAGUCAUCUUUCUGAAGAGCAAAUCAAGAGGAUAAACAGCUCAUUCAGGAAGCCAUGAGGCUAGCUGUAACUAAAAAGGUUUAAGUCCUAUUCUCCUUCUUCCCAUUGAUUAUGGGUGUGGCUGAACCACUCAGAAAUUCAUCACCGGUAACCAAGUGGUGGCAGCAGAGAAUUGUAAAACCCAGCUGUGGGGAAACUCCUGUUUUGAGGCUGUUCAAGAAGUGCUGUGGUUGUUUUGGCUUAAAAUCACAUUA
rnacentral:lncRNA from 1 species